UACUCGGAUAACCGUGGUAUUCUAGAGCUAAUACGUGCUACAAGUCCCAACUUCGGAAGGGACGUGUUUAUUAGAUUCAAAGCCAAUGCCUUUCGGGGCUCGCUGGUGAUUCAUAAUAACCGCUCGAAUCGCACAGCCUUGCGCUGGCGAUGGUUCAUUCAAAUUUCUGCCCUAUCAACUUUCGAUGGCUGGGUAGUGGCCAGCCAUGGUGACAACGGGUAACGGAGGGUUAGGGCUCGACCCCGGAGAAGAAGCCAGAGUAACGGCUUCUACAUCCAAGGAAGGCAGCAGGCGCGCAAAUUACCCAAUCCCGACACGGGGAGGUAGUGACAAUAAAUACUGAUACAGGGCUCUUUUGGGUCUUGUAAUUGGAAUGAGUACAAUUUAAAUCCCUUAACGAGGAACAAUUGGAGGGCAAGUCUGGUGCCAGCAGCCGCGGUAAUUCCAGCUCCAAUAGCGUAUAUUAAAGUUGUUGCGGUUAAAAAGCUCGUAGUUGAACCUCGGGCCUGGCCGGCCGGUCCGCCUCACCGCGUGUACUGGCUCGGCUGGGCCUUUCCCGCUGGGGAGCCGCAUGCCCUUCACUGGGUGUGUCGGGGAACCAGGACGUUUACUUUGAAUAAAUCAGAUCGCUCCAAGAAGGCCUUCGCCCGGAUGCAUUAGCAUGGAAUAAUGAAAUAGGACGUGCGGUUCUAUUUCGUUGGUUUCUAGGACCGCCGUAAUGAUUAAGAGGGACAGUCGGGGGCAUCAGUAUUCAGUUGUCAGAGGUGAAAUUCUUGGAUCUAGUGAAGACUAACUACUGCGAAAGCAUUUGCCAAGGAUGUUUUCAUUAAUCAGGAACGAAAGUUGGGGGA
rnacentral:rRNA from 1 species